AAGGCUUUAAGUUAAAUAAACUAAUAGCCUUCAAAGCUAUAAAUAUAAGAAAAUACCUUUUAAGCCUUA
rnacentral:tRNA from 1 species